UGCAGUCGAGGGGCAUCGGGGAUAAGCUUGCUUAUCCGCCGGCGACCGGCGCACGGGUGCGCAACGCGUAUAGAAUCUGCCCUGUACUGGGGAAUAGCCCAGAGAAAUUUGGAUUAAUGCCCCAUGGUAUGUAUUUGUGGCAUCACAUAUACAUUAAAGGCUACGGUACGGGAUGACUAUGCGUCCCAUUAGUUAGUUGGUAAGGUAACGGCUUACCAAGGCAGCGAUGGGUAGGGGCCCUGAGAGGGGGAUCCCCCACACUGGUACUGANACACGGACCAGACUCCUACGGGAGGCAGCAGUGAGGAAUAUUGGACAAUGGGCGGGAGCCUGAUCCAGCCAUGCCGCGUGCAGGAAGACGGUCCUAUGGAUUGUAAACUGCUUUUGUACGGGAAGAACAAGGGGCACGUGUGCCCCUCUGACGGUACCGUAAGAAUAAGGAUCGGCUAACUCCGUGCCAGCAGCCGCGGUAAUACGGAGGAUCCGAGCGUUAUCCGGAAUCAUUGGGUUUAAAGGGUCCGUAGGCGGGCCAUUAAGUCAGGGGUGAAAGUCUGCGGCUCAACCGUAGAAUUGCCCUUGAUACUGGUGGUCUUGAGUUAUGGUGAAGUAACUAGAAUAUGUAGUGUAGCGGUGAAAUGCAUAGAUAUUACAUAGAAUACCGAUUGCGAAGGCAGGUUACUAACCAUAUACUGACGCUGAUGGACGAAAGCGUGGGGAGCGAACAGGAUUAGAUACCCUGGUAGUCCACGCCGUAAACGAUGGAUACUAGCUGUCCGGAUGCAAAUCUGGGCGGCCAAGCGAAAGUGAUAAGUAUCCACCUGGGGAGUACGUCCGCAAGGAUGAAACUCAAGGAAUUGACGGGGCCCGCACAAGNGGUGGAGCAUGUGUUUAAUUCGAUGAUACGCGAGGAACCUUACCAGGGCUUAAU
rnacentral:rRNA from 1 species